rnacentral:misc_RNA from 1 species
AACGCACAUUGCGCCCCUUGGUAUUCCGAGGGGCAUGCCUGUUCGAGCGUCAUUACACCACUCAAGCUAUGCUUGGUAUUGGGUGUCGUCCUUAGUUGGGCGCGCCUUAAAGACCUCGGCGAGGCCUCACCGGCUUUAGGCGUAGUAGAAUUUAUUCGAACGUCUGUCAAAGGAGAGGACUUCUGCCGAUCGAAACCUUUUAUUUUCUAGGUUGACCUCGGAUCAGGUAGGGAUACCCGCUGAACUUAA